CCUACGGGAGGCAGCAGUGGGGAAUAUUGCACAAUGGGCGCAAGCCUGAUGCAGCAACGCCGCGUGAGGGACGACGGCCUUCGGGUUGUAAACCUCUUUUAGUAGGGAAGAAGCGAAAGUGACGGUACCUGCAGAAAAAGCACCGGCUAACUACGUGCCAGCAGCCGCGGUAAUACGUAGGGUGCAAGCGUUAUCCGGAAUUAUUGGGCGUAAAGAGCUCGUAGGCGGUUUGUCGCGUCUGCUGUGAAAACUGGAGGCUCAACCUCCAGCCUGCAGUGGGUACGGGCAGACUAGAGUGCGGUAGGGGAGAUUGGAAUUCCUGGUGUAGCGGUGGAAUGCGCAGAUAUCAGGAGGAACACCGAUGGCGAAGGCAGAUCUCUGGGCCGUAACUGACGCUGAGGAGCGAAAGCAUGGGGAGCGAACAGGAUUAGAUACCCUGGUAGUCCAUGCCGUAAACGUUGGGAACUAGAUGUAGGGACCAUUCCACGGUUUCUGUGUCGCAGCUAACGCAUUAAGUUCGCCGCGNGGAGCGCGAGAGUUAAAACUANAGAGUAGUGCGNGNGAGAGCGACGACGACGACGAGGAGGAGG
rnacentral:rRNA from 1 species